CCCUUAGAUGUUCUGGGCUGCACGCGUGCUACACUGAUAUUGCCAAUAUGUCAUUCUUAUCCGAAAUGGAUUGGGUAAUCAAGUAAUGAAAUUUCAUGCUUGGAAUCGGUAAUUGCAAUUUUAUCGUGAACGAGGAAUUCCUAGUAAGCACUAGUCACCAGCUAAUGUUGAUUAUGUCCCUGCCCUUUGUACACACCGCCCGUCGCUACUACUGAUUGGGUGUUCAAGUGAGAUGCUUAGACCCUUGUUGCAUGGUUCAUUAUUGUGCUCCGAAAGGAAAAAGUUUCAAGCUUGAGUGUCUAGAGGAAGUAAAAGUCGUAACA
rnacentral:rRNA from 1 species